CUCCUGGUAGCUCAGUUGGUAGAGCGCCUGUCUGUUGGCGCAGCCUGCCCGCAGGGCUUAGAACAGGAGGUCGCCAGUUCGAUUCUGGCUUGGGGGG
rnacentral:tRNA from 2 species